UACGGGGGGGGCAAGCGUUUUUCGGAAUUACUGGGCGUAAAGGGCGCGUAGGCGGGCGGGCAAGUCUCUCGUGAAAGCCCACGGCUCAACCGUGGAAUUGCGGGAGAUACUGCCUGUCUUGAGUCCGGGAGAGGAGGGUGGAAUUCCCAGUGUAGCGGUGAAAUGCGUAGAUAUUGGGAGGAACACCGGUGGCGAAGGCGGCUCUCUCGAUCGGUACUGACGCUGAGGCGCGAAAGCGUGGGGAGCGAACAGG
rnacentral:rRNA from 1 species